CUGGACCUGGAAAACCUCCGGUGUUGGACUGUGGUUCUGUUGGACUGCGGUUCUGUUGGACUGCGGUUCUGUUGGACUGCGGUUCUGUUGGGCUGCCGUUCUGUUGGACUGCGGUUCUGUUGUUCACUACUUGUACGUUCUCCUGCAGCGCAACACCUCGUAAAACCGGCUUAUUUUCACAGGCUCAGACGGCCUUCCUGACUCACAGUCUGGGGGGGGGGGAAGAGAUAAAUGUGACGUUCUGCUCUCUCCCUCUCGCUGUCUCCUCUCUACAGAGAUGUUCAUGGACGGGCUGGGAGAGCUGCUGGUGGCCAUAUGUCCCGAGGUCGGUCUUAACCACCAGCGCCGAAAGGCGAAUCCUCAGUACAAAAAAUUCCGGAAGCCGGCCAAGAGCGACACCGACAACAAACUCUACCUCCACUUUUUCAAGAACCGUCUGAAGUGUAUGAAGUGGUGAAAACUUGGGUCAAAGGUGUAGAUAUUUGUACUGCGCUAUUAUUGUGUAGGUACUCACGCAUAAUGAAAUAUGAGCGCUGGGCGACGUUUUGUGAUAUGACAUUUUGGCCCGCAGUUACUAUGGUAACUUGGCGGUGCAUUUGUGUGCAACCAGGCAGCACAGCUCUUUGCUGCUUCUCAAAAUGCUGCGUGUUUGACCACAAGAGCGUGUCUUUUUCGGGUUUAGCAGAGAAACUACAGCUCUGACAUGAUGUCUCACAGGUUACCUCCAUCCCCCACUAGAGCUGGAAAGUCCAGGGGUCAGAAAGUAAAAGUCCAGCCUUGUGUUUCAUAUACGCACAAACUCAGCCAGCUGAUUUAACUAAUUGGUUCUACCUUAUGCUAAUUGGCGAAUUCAGGUGAUUGAAACAAAAUACUGAGGAGGACUUCUACUUUCUGAACUUGGAUUGUCCAUCUCCGUGCCCCACAAAGCCAAUGGAUACCUUGUGCUGCAGUUGAACAUCAGAAUCGUAAAAGUUAAUUGAAGCAAUUUGAAUAUUUAAGAGAAAGGAAAAUACCUAUGCUAGAAAAUACUGCCUUCCAUAGUAGAGUGUCAGUGAAUGCAACUUUUCUGUCCUAGAAGCACAGUUUAUGUAGUACAGACAUGGCAUAUUAUUGUGCUAGCUGUGCUCGCUAACGGACCCUGUCAGGCUGCUUCCGCUGGCCCCCUCGUUGAUGAUGUUAGCUGAGUUCUUGGCAAAAAACUGCUGGGUUUAAAUCUUUAAAACUUGGUCCAACAAUCAUUCUAGCUCACAUUAGCUACAGGUUCUCUGGCUAGUUGGAUAGUUAGCUAAUUGUCUCAGUCAGGUUGCUAACCUUUUCUGGUUGGCUGGCUAGCUACAGUAACUGCCUAGUGUCAAAAAUUUUAUUCAACAUCCUGAAUGUAAGUGUCGAAAAAGCCUCAAGCAUUUGGAUAUGUGUAUUGCUGAGGUCAUGUGGUAUUUCAUAUUUUACCUUUUUAAAUUGUAAUUAUAAAUUUUAAUAUUAUUAUUCAUUAAAAUAAUAUAGAUUUAGCCAUUACCCCAGAUUUAAUUAAAUUAAGCCAAUAAUCCUUUGGCUUUGGGAAGCAUAAAGAAGACCUGUCCGUCACAGUGGCCAGUACACAUCUGUGGUUGUUUUUAUUUUUAUUUUAUUCUCUCACUGGUGAUUGUGCAGUCUGUUUUGCAGAAUAUUUUGUGAUUGGGAUUAACGAUUCUUGUUUUUGUCUUGUGGUUUUUUCACAUGCAAAUGUUAUAUUACUGCACUCAGUUUGGGGGAUUGUUUGGAACGUAUGAUUUUUGUGUCUUAGGAGAUUUUAUUUGUACUAUUUUGGGUUUUAAUAAAUUUACAAGUGUUGUAAAUGUA